rnacentral:rRNA from 1 species
UUAAAUUGAAGAGUUUGAUCAUGGCUCAGAUUGAACGCUGGCGGCAGGCCUAACACAUGCAAGUCGAACGGUAACAGGAAGCAGCUUGCUGCUUUGCUGACGAGUGGCGGACGGGUGAGUAAUGUCUGGGAAACUGCCCGAU